UUGCUUUUUAAAGAAACUCAAAACUUUAAUGAGGAGCUGCAGGGGGUUAACGUGAAAUCCAUUCCGAAUGUUUGAUCCUCACCAUGUUGUCUCCAGGGUGUGCCCUGCACGGGUCCAGUGGGGAGGAGAGUGACAAAUACAGUCAAUGAUAUUUGCAAUAGAAGAAGGAGGAGAUAAAAGGAUGUUGCGCUGCAAGGAUUUUGAUAGCUCACCGGAAUUGUAGAUAUCUAAUCGAUUUGGAAUAGGACUCUCUAAUAUCUCCAAGUUGGUGUUGAGUUUUCUAAAAAUUACUAAUUGUCAACCCGCUGCUUAUCCCCUUGCACUGAAGAUGAACAAAAACAAGAGUGUGUAUACCUGAGACCGUUCUGGAAGAGACAUGGAGGAGGCAACCUUGACUCUGACACCUUCUUCUAGACAAUGCAGUUGCUAGACUAUUCUUGCUCUUGUUGACAGGGAUAUAAUGAGGAAGAGGGAGCCUGCUGCCCUGGGUUGGAAGCCUAUGUGUGAAGUUUUCUUCCUUCCUUCCUUAUUUCCUCCCCCCCUUUCCUUUCUUUCUCUCUCUUUUGAUGUUAGAGGUAUGGAUUACCAAGCAGGGGGAAUGAAUAAAUGGGGAGAUACCGAAACAGGGGACUAACUUGGGGUGGACCAGGGGGCCAGGGAAGGCCAGAGCCCUGGGUCAGCCGUGGAGGAGGGGGCUUGGCUGCUUCCAUAGGAUGGAGAUGUAAGUGCAAGAGAGAAGAAAGCCGUUGUGAGGCCAACAACAUGGUGGCUGGAUAGAUCCACAAAAUAUAAAGAACAUUUAAUUUUAAGUCAGAGCCACCAGGCUUUCCACAGAUUCAUUGGGCGAUUUUAGGGCAGUGUCUUCAUUUGUGUUUCCCUAGAAGCAGACCUUGAGUCAAAGAGUUGAGGCAAGUGGCUAAUUUGGAGUAGAUUCUAUCAAGUACGUGUAGGACAAUAGGAAAAUAAGAUAGGGAAGAGAAGGCAGAGAGGAUAGGGUGAAUUUUAAAGAAAGUUAGCACAGUAGGAACUGGAUCUCAGGUCCACUGGGGAACUUCGAGAGCUCCAGAGUUAUCCCACCAAAUCCCAUCAGCCAUGGUUGGAGGCUUCUACAGGGAAGAGGUCUGGCAAUUCUAGGCUGCUCUACAGGAAGCCAGGGUAAGCUUCUUCAGGCAGUGAGUCACAGGUGUCGGCAGUCAGCUGGAAGUCUGGCCAAAAUGCAAGGAAAUAUUAAGAGAUGGGAGGAUAUUACAAAGACACAGCCAGUGUUGUUACAGGAAGUCAAUUAACAUUCUAAUUCUGUUUUUCCACUUUUAAAGUGAGAAUCCUAAUAUUUGUUCUUGGACAUGUUGAAAUGGAAGUGAUGGCAUUGGCUGGCAUCCAGAAUCCCAAACACCUCGCCCUUUGGAAGUGUCACUUGCCCUUUGGAGAUGUUCAUGGUGUGCGUUGGUGUACAUAUGUAUAAAAACAGGCUGAGAAAAGGAACCCCUUAUGGAAUCUCAUCUUAUUGCACUGAACUACACUAUAUAGAUUGGCAGAGCCCAAGUCCGGGGAAGCAGCAUAUACCUGGGGAAACUCUUCUUCCACAACCCAGUACCUAUUAGUCCAAAGCUACUUGAGCCCUGGGAACAGCAAUGCCAGAGACACUGAUAUCAUCCAGCCAGCAAGCAGAAUUCUCUGAAGGUCCUUCCGACAGUGCAUCGUCGCCUCCCUUGCCUCCUUACAAUGCUGUCAUCUGCUCCUUGGAAGGAAUGAACACAUCUCGGCACCCCCCACUCAAAUAACACCACAGCUUCUUGAUUCCAUCUACUUUCCUACACAAGGGAAAGCUGUGCACAACCGGGGGAAGGAAGUCCCAGACUCCACACAGGGGAUUUCCGUAGGGUCUUCUAUAACUGAGGCCACUGGUAACUAGCCUGUAGCCAGUAUGGUGACUGAAAGUAGAUGGAGGUGCGCUUCUAGAUCGGUUCUUAGACCCAUGGGUUAAAGCCUCCUGCCUCGCCUGUGACUCAGGGUCCGUCCAGUGAGGUUCCCAGGUUCAGAACACGCUCCCUCCUGAGCGAGGAGGGGUGCUGACACUAGAUGGCAGGAAAGGGUCAGUUUGCCUGUCUCGACCCCCACCAGGGCUCCUGUCUCCUUUAGUUAAAGGCAAGCUCCUGGACUGAGGCCACAGGGAGAGGAUGAGUGGUGAGUUGGUGUUGGAUCGAUAUACACACGUUGCUUAACAUGCAACUGUCGAUCACUAUUAUACCAGUGCUUUUCUACCAAAUCAACCUCCCUCACUGGAAUAACAUCUCUAACUGAACACCUUGGUGGGAGUUGACUCAGCCUCCCAUCCCUAAGACGGAGAAUGGUGCCUCCCUAAUGGAGCUGUGAAAAAUAAUGAAAUAUAUAUAUAUAAUGUCCAAUGUGCAGUAUAUACUCAUAAAAUGUGGCUUUUAACUACGACUUUUAUAUUUCUGCUGAGAGUAUCACCUUUCUGCGGUAACCCCAGGGGCCUCGUGUUAAUCUUUGUCUUAGACUGUUACUUCCCUUCAUAUUCGGGCACCAAAUUCUAUUCAGUUUUUCUCUAAAGUGUUCAUUUCCACUGUCAGUAUUAGGACACGCACACAUUUUUUUUUUUCAUGCCCAGACCACUGUUACUGCCUGCCCACAGGAUGAAUUAAGAGAAGCAUUCGUUCGAGAAACAUUUAUUGAGCAUCUAAUAUAUGUACUGUUUAAUUCCUUGGGACAAACAACUCCUGCUCUCCUGGUACUUAUGUUCUUGUGGGUGGAGGCAGCCAAUGUGCAAAUCAACAAAGGGAUAAUCAAGAAAAAAAAAAAGUCGCUGGUGGUAAGUGAGAAACAAACACCAAAGCGGACAGUGAUGGGAGUGUGAGUAGCGGGGGCGGAGAGGAAAUGGAGACAACACAGACGAUAGAUGGUUAGGGAAGAUCUAUUUCGGGAGAAGCUACUGGAGCAGAGGUCUGAAUGACAAACAUGUCUGUCAGGGGCAGCGAGUGAAAGGGUCUUCGUGUAAGGGUGAGACAGGCCCGGUGGAAGGAUGGAGGGCAGGGCCCGUGUGGUUGUCGCAUGAGCGGGAAAGGCACAGUGACAAGAGAUGAAAUCGAAGAGGACAGUGGGACCCUAUCUUGUAGGACAAUCAGAUGGUGGAGAGCAUAGGAAGCACACUGGGUCUCAUCAGAAGCGUCUUAUUAGCUGCUGGAGGUCAAGAACAUGAUGUGACUGAUGUUUUAUAAAGCUCACUCUCCCCGCCCAGUGGAGAAUGGACCGGGGACCUGGCAGGAGGGGAAGCAGAGUAGCCUGGAGAGAGGCUGGUGGCUAGUACCACUGGAGACAGAGCAAAAAGGAAAAUACAGGAUAUGGUUUUAAGAAAAUUCCACACUCAUUUUCCCGAGGUCAUUUCUCAACUCUCAAAACUUUGUUGCCAGCUCAUUAUACUUCCCGCUGAAUGAAAUCUAAAUAAAUGUGGUUUC